CGUAGGGCGAGCGUUGUCCGGAAUUAUUGGGCGUAAAGCGCGCGCAGGCGGUUUUAAGUCUGAUGUAUAAGCCCAGGGCUUAACUUGGGGGCAUUGGAAACUGGGAGACUGGAGUGUAGGAGGGGAAAGUGGAAUUCCACGUGUAGCGGUGAAAUGCGUAGAGAUGUGGAGGAACACCAGUGGCGAAGGCGACUUUCUGGCCUAUAACUGACGCUGAGGCGCGAAAGCGUGGGGAGCAAACAGGAUU
rnacentral:rRNA from 1 species